rnacentral:rRNA from 1 species
GACGAACGCUGGCGGCGUGCUUAACACAUGCAAGUCGAACGGAAAGGCCCUGCUUUUGUGGGGUGCUCGAGUGGCGAACGGGUGAGUAACAAGUGAGUAACCUGCCCUUGACUAUGGGAUAACUUCAGGAAACUGGGGCUAAUACCGGAUAGGCGCUCCUGCUGCAUGGUGGGGGUUGGACAGUUUCGGCGGUUGGGGAUGGACUCGCGGCUUAUCAGCUUGUUGGUGGGGUAGUGGCUUACCAAGGCCUUGACGGGUAGCCGGCCUGAGGGGGUGACCGGCCACAUUGGGACUGAGGUACGGCCCAGACUCCUACGGGAGGCAGCAGUGGGGAAGAUUGCACAAUGGGCGGAAGCCUGAUGCAGCAACGCCGCGUGCUGGAUGACGGCCUUCGGGUUGUAAACCGCUUUCGCCUGUGACGAAGCGUGAGUGACGGUAAUGGGUAAAGAAGCACCGGCUAACUACGUG